UACGUUCCCGGGCCUUGUACACACCGCCCGUCACACCACGAAAGUUGGUAACACCCGAAGCCGGUGGCCCAACCCGUAAGGGAGGGAGCCGUCGAAGGUGGGAUCAGCGAUUGGGGUG
rnacentral:rRNA from 1 species